UUUAUUUUAAUCUUUGGAACAAAAAAUGUCCUUUUGGGCUGAUACCAGUACUUUUUGUAUGCCAAGUUACUGACCAGAGUCUAUUUUUAUAGGUCAAGAUAGAAACCUCUGAAAACCAGAGUUUAUAACGGAAACAUUUACAGGCCCUUAACUAUCACAGAGUACAUGGCAAUAUUGAAAUCACAAGGUACAAGCCAUAAGAUUUCACAUGUAGUUACUUUUGGUGACACUAUCCGGUUUCCACAAUGUAUCAUUCCUUAUCUGAAACUAGUCAUCCUCUUCAGCCAGAAGAACAAGAAGUAGGCAUUGACCCCUUGUCCAGUUACUCGAACAAGUCUGGAGGUGAGUUC